AAUCUUAUAGUCAAAUAAAUGAUUUUAAAUUGCAAAUUUAAUGUUGUAUAAUUAUUACUAAGAUUU
rnacentral:tRNA from 1 species